rnacentral:lncRNA from 1 species
UCCUUCCAUCAUCCUCAAAUUGAGAGAAGUUAAAAAAUUAGCAUUGAAGAUCACCACCUCCCUCUCUCAAGCAUUCAAGAAGAAGAAAUCAAGCCAACAAGCAAUCAAUUCAGAUUCUCUUCUCUUGGGCUUCUUUGUGUUCAUUCUCUAAACUUUAACUCUUGCAUUAAUUGUAGUUUUGUAUUUCCUUUCAAGUUUCUUAGGAUGAAAAACUUGGAUUGGUCCAAGCUUUGAAUUGGAUAUUGUAGUGGUUUGAUUGGUGAGCC